UACAGAGGUCUCAAGCGUUGUUCGGAUUCAUUGGGCGUAAAGGGUGCGUAGGCGGCGCGGUAAGUCGGGUGUGAAAUCUUGGAGCUUAACUCCGAAACUGCAUUCGAUACUGCCGUGCUUGAGGACUGGAGAGGAGACUGGAAUUUACGGUGUAGCGGUGAAAUGCGUAGAUAUCGUAAGGAAGACCAGUGGCGAAGGCGGGUCUCUGGAUAGUUCCUGACGCUGAGGCACGAAGGCCAGGGGGAGCAAACGGG
rnacentral:rRNA from 1 species